rnacentral:rRNA from 1 species
CCAGACUCCUACGGGAGGCAGCAGUGAGGAAUAUUGGUCAAUGGGCGGGAGCCUGAACCAGCCAAGUCGCGUGAGGGACGACGGUCCUAUGGAUUGUAAACCUCUUUUGUCGGGGAACAAAGGCGCCCACGGGUGGGCGGAUGAGUGUACCCGAAGAAAAAGCAUCGGCUAACUCCGUGCCAGCAGCCGCGGUAAUACGGAGGAUGCGAGCGUUAUCCGGAUUUAUUGGGUUUAAAGGGUGCGCAGGCGGAAGAUCAAGUCAGGGUUAAAAUUGGGAGGCUCAACCUCUCCGAGCCGUUGAAACUGGUUUUCUUGGGUGAGCGAGAAGUAUGCGGAAUGCGUGGUGUAGCGGUGAAAUGCAUAGAUAUCACGCAGAACUCCGAUUGCGAAGGCAGCAUACCGGCGCUCAACUGACGCUCAUGCACGAAAGUGUGGGUAUCGAACAGGAUUAGAUACCCUUGUAGA